rnacentral:rRNA from 1 species
CUUUGCUGGCGACCGGCGCACGGGUGAGUAACACGUAUCCAACCUGCCGAUGACUCGGGGAUAGCCUUUCGAAAGAAAGAUUAAUACCCGAUGGCAUAAUGAUUCCGCAUGGUUUCAUUAUUAAAGGAUUCCGGUAAAGGAUGGGGAUGCGUUCCAUUAGGUUGUUGGUGAGGUAACGGCCCACCAAGCCUUCGAUGGAUAGGGGUUCUGAGAGGAAGGUCCCCCCACAUUGGAACUGAGACACGGUCCAAACUCCUACGGGAGGCAGCAUG